GGCCUUACACAGGUUAAGGCAACGGUCUGCAAAACCGUGAUCGUGAGUUCGAAUCUCAUCAGGU
rnacentral:tRNA from 1 species